rnacentral:rRNA from 1 species
AGUGAACGCUGGCGGUAGGCCUAACACAUGCAAGUCGAACGGCAGCACAGUAAGAGCUUGCUCUUACGGGUGGCGAGUGGCGGACGGGUGAGGAAUACAUCGGAAUCUACUUUUUCGUGGGGGAUAACGUAGGGAAAGUUACGCUAGUACCGCAUACGACCUACGGGUGAAAGCAUGGGAUCGUCGCGCCGUGCGCGGUUGAAUGAGCCGAGGUGGGGUUAGCUAGUGGGCGGGGUAAAGGCCCACCAAGGGGACGAUCGGUAGCUGGUCGGAGAGGAUGAUCAGCCACACGGGAAGUGAGACACGGUCCAGACUCCUGCGGGAGGCAGCAGUGGGGAAUAUUGGACAAUGGGCGGAAGCCUGAUCCAGCCAUACCGCGUGGGUGAAGAAGGCCUUCGGGUUGGAAAGCCCUUUUGUUGGGAAAGAAAAGCAGCAGGUUAAUACCCCGCGGUUCUGACGGUACCCAAAGAAUAAGCACCGGCUAACUUCGUG